CUGGCUUGGUAACUCACUUGAUUACCAAUGAUGGUAUUGCGGAAAGACUAUUGCAAUAUUAAUAAAAUAAGCACACAAAAAAAGCUCGCAAAUUGCGAGCUUUUUUAU
rfam:Lactobacillus kefiranofaciens subsp. kefirgranum DSM 10550 = JCM 8572 strain DSM 10550 NODE_12, whole genome shotgun sequence.